rnacentral:rRNA from 1 species
GACAGAGGAGGCAAGCGUUGUCCGGACUUACUGGGCGUAAAGCGUCCGCAGGUGGUCGUGCAAGUGCGCUGUGAAAGCGCUCGGCUUAACUGAGCGAGGCCAAUGCAGACUGCACGACUCGAGACCGGGAGAGGUCGGUGGAAUUGCCGGUGUAGUGGUGAAAUGCGUAGAGAUCGGGAGGAACACCAGUGGCGAAGGCGACUACCUGGCCUGUUUCUUGACGCUGAGGCGCGAAAGCUAGGGGAGCAAACGGG